rnacentral:rRNA from 1 species
CGAAGUGGUUCUGACCUUUUGGUACAGAGAAGUCAUUGAUGCCCGGCUUCCAGGAAAAGCUGCUAGCCAUAACUUAUAGAGAACCGUACCGCAAACCGACACAGGUGGACAGGUAGAGAAUACUAAGGCGCUUGAGAGAACUCGGGUGAAGGAACUAGGCAAAAUGGUACCGUAACUUCGGGAGAAGGUACGCCCUUUCUGGUGAUGGGAUUUACUUUCAGAGCUGGAGAGGGCCGCAGAGACCAGGUGGCUGCGACUGUUUAUUAAAAACACAGCACUCUGCAAAUUCGUAAGAAGACGUAUAGGGUGUGACGCCUGCCCGGUGCCGGAAGGUUAAUUGAUGGGGUUAUCUUCGGAGAAGCUCUUGAUCGAAGCCCCGGUAAACGGCGGCCGUAACUAUAACGGUCCUAAGGUAGCGAAAUUCCUUGUCGGGUAAGUUCCGACCUGCACGAAUGGCGUAACGAUGGCCACACUGUCUCCACCCGAGACUCAGUGAAAUUGAAAUCGCUGUGAAGAUGCAGUGUACCCGCGGCUAGACGGAAAGACCCCGUGAACCUUUACUAUAGUUUUGCACUGGACUUUGAUGAUGACUGUGUAGGAUAGGUGGGAGGCUGUGAAGUGAGGACGCUAGUUCUCAUGGAGCCGCCCUUGAAAUACCACCCUGUUGUUAUUGAGGUUCUAACUUGGUCCAGUAAUCCUGGAUGAGGACAGUGUAUGAUGGGUAGUUUGACUGGGGCGGUCUCCUCCCAAAGAGUAACGGAGGAGCACAAAGGUACCCUCGGUACGGUCGGACAUCGUACCAAGAGUGUAAAGGCAAAAGGGUGCUUGACUGCGAGAGUGACGGCUCGAGCAGGAACGAAAGUUGGUCUUAGUGAUCCGGUGGUUCUGAAUGGAAGGGCCAUCGCUCAACGGAUAAAAGGUACUCCGGGGAUAACAGGCUGAUACCGCCCAAGAGUUCAUAUCGACGGCGGUGUUUGGCACCUCGAUGUCGGCUCAUCACAUCCUGGGGCUGAAGCAGGUCCCAAGGGUAUGGCUGUUCGCCAUUUAAAGUGGUACGCGAGCUGGGUUUAGAACGUCGUGAGACAGUUCGGUCCCUAUCUGCCGUGGGCGUAGGAAAAUUGAGAGGAGCUGCUCCUAGUACGAGAGGACCGGAGUGGACGAACCUCUGGUGCACCGGUUGUCACGCCAGUGGCAUGGCCGGGUAGCUAAGUUCGGACGGGAUAACCGCUGAAAGCAUCUAAGCGGGAAGCCUCCCUCAAGAUGAGUUUUCCCAUGAAGCCCGUUGAAGACUACGACGUUGAUAGGCAAGGUGUGGAAGCGCAGUAAUGCGUGAAGCUAACUUGUACUAAUUGGCUGAUUGUCUUGACCAU